rnacentral:miRNA from 7 species
GAAGGCUGUGAGGUUCCCCUCU